rnacentral:rRNA from 1 species
GAUGAACGCUGGCGGCGUGCUUAACACAUGCAAGUCGAACGGAAAGGCUCCUGCUUGCAGGGGUACUCGAGUGGCGAACGGGGGAGUAACACGUGGGUUAUCUGCCAUGCACUUCGGGAUAAGCCUGGGAAACUGGGUCUAAUACCGGAUAGGACGAUGGUUUGGAUGCCAUUGUGGAAAGUUUUUCGGUGUGGGAUGAGCUCGCGGCCUAUCAGCUUGUUGGUGGGGUAAUGGCCUACCAAGGCGUCGACGGGUAGCCGGCCUGAGAGGGUGUACGGCCACAUUGGGCCUGAGAUACGGCCCAGACUCCUCCGGGAGGCAGCAGUGGGGAAUAUUGCACAAUGGGCGGAAGCAUGAUGUAGCGACGCCGCGUGGGGGAUGACGGCAUUCGGGUUGUAAUCUCCUUUCGUUAGGCCCGAAGCGCAAGUGACGGUACCUGGAGAAGAAGCCCCGGCUAACUACGUG